rnacentral:rRNA from 2 species
CCUGUAGGGUUGAUCAUCCUUCCUGUGGGUGCUUGUGAUAUACUACUGGGCGGACGGAUAAUCACGCUCGCGCGUUCUGUCUGGAAUUCGAGAGUUUUUUGCGAUUGCUGACUAGGUUUAGGGUUAUCUCAGAGGGGCAUUGAUUUGAACUGAAGAGUUUCGGUACAAGAGGAGCUCGCGUCCCAUUAGCUAGUUGGCGGGGUAACGGCCCACCAAGGCGACGAUGGGUAGCCGAUCUGAGAGGAUGAACGGCCACACUGGAACUGAGACACGGUCCAGACUCCUACGGGAGGCAGCAGUGGGGAAUAUUGGGCAAUGGAGGCAACUCUGACCCAGCAACGCCGCGUGAAUGAAGAAGGUCUUCGGAUUGUAAAGUUCUUUAAUUGGUGACGAACAAAUGACGGUAGCCAAAGAAUAAGCCACGACUAACUACGUGCCAGCAGUCGCGGUAAUACGUAGGUGGCAAGCGUUGUCCGGAAUGACUGGGCGUAAAGGGAGCGUAGGCGGCGAAACAAGUUAGGAGUGAAAUCCCGAGGCUUAACCUCGGAACUGCUUUUAAAACUGUUUUGCUUGAGUGAUGGAGAGGAAAGUGGAAUUCCUAGUGUAGCGGUGGAAUGCGUAGAUAUUAGGAGGAACACCAGAGGCGAAGGCGACUUUCUGGACAUUAACUGACGCUGAGGCUCGAAAGCGUGGGGAGCAAACAGGAUUAGAUACCCUGGGUAGUCCACGCUGUAAACGAUGGAUACUAGAUGCGGGAAGGUACGACUUCCUUCCGUGUUCGCCGAUAAAACAUAAGUAUUCCCGGCCUGGGGAAGCUCGG